rnacentral:rRNA from 1 species
UACGAGGGGGGCAAGCGUUGUCCGGAAUUAUUGGGCGUAAAGAGCUCGUAGGCGGCCUGUCGCGUCGGAUGUGAAAGCCCGGGGCUUAACCCCGGGUCUGCAUUCGAUACGGGCAGGCUAGAGUGUGGUAGGGGAGAUCGGAAUUCCUGGUGUAGCGGUGAAAUGCGCAGAUAUCAGGAGGAACACCGGUGGCGAAGGCGGAUCUCUGGGCCAUUACUGACGCUGAGGAGCGAAAGCGUGGGGAGCGAACAGG